AAAUAAAUAUUGCACUUGAGUUGAAUGUUUUCUAUCCUAUAGUCACGGUGGUUGUUGGCUUUGUGAAACGCGCAGGCCUUUAAAACCAGCUCAUUUCCAACAACUUAAUGAAUAAUCCACAGGAAUCUUGCAGGUGGUUGCAGGAUAUUUAGGCCCUUGUGAACACUCACUUGCUCACACACAGACAGCCUAUUCUUAAACACACACAACAGGACAUCUCCCAAGACCAACUUUGUAUUUGUGUGUGUGUGUUUCCCACACUAAAAAGGGCCUCCUUCUUGGCUUACACUUUAACCGGCUCUGAAGUGAACCAGUUUGCUCCUGGGAUUUGUCAGGAGGAGCGUGCCGCGCUGUUAUUUACGUUAACCUCCCCUGACACAUUGACAGAAGUAAAUUAUUGGGUCGGGCUUGAACUUUCCGCUUUCCGAGUCCGAAGGCUUGAACUCUUUUUAAAACGCGGCCUCUUGUUUAUUUCACCUGCUCUUUGGUGGAGGGAAAGAAAAGAUGGACCGCUACAGCACCGUCUUCCUGUUGUGGGGGUCAUGCACACAGCACAAGUCAGAAGUUCAGUGCAGUGCACAUCCAGUGCAGGAGUUUAAGAAGCGGUUCCAUGUGUGCAUGCAGCGUUAGCUCUGAGAAAUCAGUUGCUUUUUCAAUUUUAGUUAAAAAAAAAAAAAAAUCCUUUCUAUUGCUUCAUUGUUUUUCGGACAAAAGCGUAUUCUCAUAUCUUCGGGGUCACAUCCCGCUAGUUUUCCCACAGUGUUGUAUGGCAUCUCCCAACCCAUUAGCCAUGCAUUAAGUGACUGUCUUUGACUGUGUUACCCUCUUCUUCAAUGGGCCGUCCAUUAGUGCUUUGUGCAGGACGCUGCUCCACAUAACCACCCAUGUGUGUCCCAUCCUCACGGGCACCCCCCUCCUAGACCAAUGCAUAGCCCAGUCCAUCAAAGGCACGUCCACUUUGUAUGUUUUUCUCUUUUUUCACCCCCCGAGUGAUGUUUUGUCGGCUAAGUUAACCGGACGGGAUUUCUCUGACCUCCAUCUAGUCUCUCUGUUUGUUCAUACUUACUAUAACCACUCCACUGUCAUGCUCUUCCUCACAAAACUCACCCCCGAAGGUCCUGAAACCGUCUUUGGACCUUGCCUCUGGAACCGCAGCCAAAAGGAGAGAGUUCCCUCCCUGGAGCGGAUCUCAAAACCGCAAGAGAGCAUCCAUCUCAGGACAAUGCUGGAUUGUUCUUCUUAAAAGCAACUUUGAGGCCGCCGUCGUUUUUGCCUCACGGUCAGGUUCAACAGUUGAUUUCUCAAGCGGGCCGGAGUUCCUUUUCAUCCGGCCACUGUGAGGUGCACUGUUGCUGUGCUCCCUUUGUUGUGAAAAAAAAAAACGGGGCGUUUGCAGCGGACGGUGCACUCUGCAGCGUUGAGCGAGGCAGUGAUGACCGGGCUGACGUUUUUUCUGGGUUUUUACAAAUACUUGGUGCAAAAAACUAAAACGGCAGCAGACCUGCUGACAUAGCCAUCGGUAGUUCUUCCCCUCCCGAUCGCCGGCUGAAUCGGGCGAACAUGCAUGCGCGUAUGCAGCAGUGUCACUCAGCCUUUGUCACUGAGCAAUUACACUUCUACAAAUAUUGUGUUUCAGGCCCUAUUUAUGACCAUAAGGGUGCAUUUGUCCUUGGUGGCUGCUGUGUUUUUGUGUGUGGUUCCACAGGCCUGUUGUUUGUGGAAGCAGGGCUGGACUACCAUUGCAGAAAGAGGCAGUUAGGCAUGUGCCUGGGCUCUGUGGGCAGUGGUUUGGCCCUCCGCCAGACUCACAGAUGGCCGGAGUCUCAGUCUCUUUUCUUUCUCUGGCUAUCUUGUUCCGCUCACUCGCAGGCUCCCUCACUUUCUUUCUUUUUCUCCUCCGCCCCUCCUCCUCUUCCCUCGCAAGAUGAAGACAUUUCCUCUUGUAAACAGAGGACGAAAAGACUCGGGGUUGAAGGCACGACCGAGGCUCCGAAGAAUAUGUCACUCUGUGGUUAUGGAAUGCUUAUGACUGGGUGUAAAUAUGCCGCUGAAGAGGCGUUGUAAACAGCAACGGCAUUAGAUAAAUGGGCGCCUUUUUAUCCGUUACAAUGCCGCCAUUGUUUUUCAGCACAAUGCAUGUUGUUUGUUGAUUAAUUCCCAAAAGUGAGCCGGGAGAUAAGUUUGAAUGUAGCUUGGAUGUAGUGGUGCAUGCUGGUUCCAUCAGGCUCCUCUUGAAAAAGAUGAAGGUAAACAGAGAUGGGUCAGAUUGGUGCAAAAAUGAAAGCACCGGUAAUACCAGGCGAGGACUUGGACGCAGCAAACAAGUCAUGUGGUUCUCACCUUAACUACAAAACACAUGUUUUCGUAUAAAAAAAAACAUCACGGCGUUACUGCACGCAUAUUGGAAAUGACGCACAGGUCAGGGCUCGGGAUUAAAAGACACCGUCACAUGGUUGUCACGAAGCUGUUUAACUUGUCUAAAAAAAAUAAAUAAAUAAAAAAAUGAAAAAAGACGCAUGAGUCAAUAAACAGAUGCCACGGUUAUUGAUGCAGUCACGUGGCUCUCGGUGAUAAUGGGAGGAGAGCAGCUUAGUCUGUAAACACUGCUCUCAGCUGAGUCCAUCAUAUCAUAGCCGGAGAUAUCAUCAAGAGAGUGGUGGCCGCUGACCCUCAAUCAGCUCCAUCUCAUUUCAGACGUUUGAACUCGGAGGAUGAUGAUAAGCCUGCGCAUAAGGGCUGGAGAUAGCGCCGCUAGUUUCAUCCACACUGUGGAUGUUUCUGCGCAGACGUUGAUAAGGGAAUACAGUACAGUGCUCCUGUAUAAGGGAGUUACUUUGUUGAUUUUAACUGAACCGAUAAGGUCUUUUUUUUUUUUGCUGUGCAUUGCCAUCAGAUUGACGUAGUUUCAGGAUGUGGUAAGAAUGCUGAAGGAGCUGUUCAGACUCUGAGCCUGGUGUUUCACAACCGUUCACAAAAACUUUAACCCCCGCGGUGCCAAAACCGAGGGUUCUCAGCCGAAAUGAAUGAACCGGGAAUGCGCGGCGUCGGUCGUUAUUAAAGGAGAUCUGUGCUAUUUAUUAAACAAACAGGAGCGAAAACCUCACAUCCUGUUUUCAUUCAAACAAACGAACUCCUCUUGUCUGUCUCUGCCUCUGUACGGAGGCCCCUAUCACAUGACCGUUCUGUUUUUGUGCUGCAGUGUCGGGUGCAAUCGGCCGUGAGAAUGUGGUUCCACACAUCGACACACGCAUCGACAUGAUGUCAACUGCUCCGGUUGAGUUUUAAUUAUAUUUGCAGGAGGUUUACAUGCACAGGAGCGUAUGCAGGAAAGCGGAGCGUUUCCACAAGCGUUUCUGGUUUUAAAACACAUAGACGGAUCGCACUGGUCGGAGACCUGGGUUUUUUGUUUGCCCUCCUCAUAAGUUUCCAAGGAGGGGUAAGGGGGUGGGUUGGAGGGCAUUAAGCUGGCCUCGAGAAGCAAUUAGAGCCUGGGGAUGAUGUUUGAAAUGAAUGAAAUUCCUGUGCAGGGUAGCCAGUCUGUGAGAAUAUGAAAGUAAAAGCUCCCCCCUUAUCUGUGUUUAUGUCGUAGGGCACCGCUAAAAGCAGAUGUAUACAAGCACCCUGUGUAAGGGAAAAAAAAAAAAGGGGGGCUUAAAUCAUUUUAUGACACUUUACCCGCCAGUAAAAAAAACACGGGUUGUAGAUAUAUUACCGCUCGACAAACACGCGGCUUUGUUCAGCGAGAACACUCAUUUUCAUUUGCUGGCUGAGGCACGGGGCCAAUUCACCCCAGGCCUCUCCUCAAACCAGCAGCCCUCUCUCAGAAACGCUCUGCAGCUGGAGCGUGUCACAGUCGACAGUGUACUCAUAAAACACUCUUCCAACAGGUAGACUCUAUCUGGAGCUUUUGUGUAUGCAGCGACUGGCGCGCACACACUCCAAACCUGCCCGUGUUUACGGCCUAGCACUCAGUUAUCGGAAUGUGCCAUCCCACACUGCAGAGCGCUGCGAGAGGUCAUAACUCAGAAGGAAGCUUUUAGUUUAUGAAACCGCGCUGAGUCCGGCAGCUUUUAUCUCUGAAAUUUACAUGUGUUUGCGGUGUGCGUGUGUACACUGCUUUGUUUCUGAUAUGUCAGUUUAUAGGAAUCCUGCUUGGCUUCCUCAUUUGCUUGCCACCGGUUGACUUGCUGCUUGUAAAAAAAGGCCUGCGCCGAGUUUAAGUUCGGUUUUUAAAACGUAACAGUGUAAAGGCAGGUUUUUACGCCUGCGUUUGAAACGAGGAAGUGUGAGCAUGCGGCGCAACGCGCCGGACUGUUGAAUACCAUUCGAAGGACAUCAGACUGCGAUAUCAACCCAAUCAAAAAGCUGCGGUGACGGGAAAGCGCGUUUGAAAAAGCCACUGAAGUGUUUUGAAGUUUUUCGCGACUCAUUUAAGGGCGACAAAACGUAGAAAUUCGACAGACUUAAACUGCCUGUAAUCAGCUGGCAGACGUUCCUUGGCUGUGACGCACCUGUUCGCAUGACUGAUAAGUAUCUGCGAUAUGGGUGCUGGCUGUACCAACACAUGCUUUUGGUUUUGAGGGCUGAGAUUCAGAUUCAGGUUGCAGAGAUAAAAAAAAAAAAAAAUAGGAUUCUUCCAAAUACAGACUGAGAUGAAUAUAUUAUUCAUAUAUUGCAUUAAGCUGACAAAACAUCUUUUGUUACUAUUUAAACGGAGGAAAAGCAGCUUCUUCAUUGCUGGGUAGUGUGGUCUGUGGUCUGUCAUCUGUGAAUAUUUAGCACAGUGUCGUUGUCUAAAAUUUAGACUUAAUAGCUUCAAAAUGAGGGAAUAGUUGGAUGUUGCUGCUUCAUUAUUAAAAUUUGUCAGUUUGUAACUGGGCCAUGAAAAUCUUUUGUUGUUACGUAGCUGUAGCUGUAGCUUAGCAUAGCCAGCCUCAGAAUAUGAGGCGUGGUAACUCGCCAUUUGGGUUUUAUUGUGGUAGAAGA